ACGCUCGACACCUAGAGGCAGCAGUGGGGAAUAUUGCACAAUGGGGGAAACCCUGAUGCAGCGACGCCGCGUGAGCGAAGAAGUAUUUCGGUAUGUAAAGCUCUAUCAGCAGGGAAGAAACUGACGGUACCUGACUAAGAAGCACCGGCUAAAUACGUGCCAGCAGCCGACGGUAAUCUGAGCGGGCUGGCAAGGC
rnacentral:rRNA from 1 species